rnacentral:rRNA from 1 species
UACGGAGGGUGCGAGCGUUGUUCGGAAUCACUGGGCGUAAAGCGCGUGUAGGCGGCCCAUUAAGUCUGAUGUGAAAGCCCGGGGCUCACCCCCGGAAGUGCAUUGGAAACUGAUGGACUCGAGUCCCGGAGAGGAGAGUGGAAUUCCUGGUGUAGCGGUGAAAUGCGUAGAUAUCAGGAGGAACACCGGUGGCGAAGGCGGGUCUCUGGGCAGUAACUGACGCUGAGGAGCGAAAGCGUGGGGAGCGAACAGG